GGCACAGCGGGGUCACGGAGCCAGGCACAGCCCCCCACCCUGCCUGCCUAGUCAGGGUGCUGGCUGCUUGGAGCAGAGAGGAGCUUCUGGGUGAGAUGGAAACUGAGAGCCUGCCUGGCAAAUGGACACUCGCCACCCCAAGCUGUCUUCCCUCCUGCUGCAAAUGGAUACAGGAGUCUCCUUCCCCUGCUUGUCCUAACCUGCGGUCUGGUCAAACAGCUGCUGCACCCCACCCCAGAGGUGGCUGCAUUUCAGUGAUCCAGUGGCGGUGGACAGCAGUGCUAUCCCUGAUCAGAGGGGACUGGGCUCUGGCACAGCGCCCUGCCCCUCCAAGACCUGCCGGAGCUCAGAGGGAGUAUACUGUUACCUUCAGAGGAUUGGGCUCUCCAGGACAGCCAGUGCCCAGCCAACUGCCCUUUGGAGAACGAGCUUGGGGGUACAUGGCCCUUUAAGGGCUAGCGGGGGCUGCGUCACCCACAGAUGCCUGACCAUGGUCCUGGCCCCAAGUUCUCCUGUGACUUCAGCGUGGCCAGCGAUGGACAAUGCAGUCGCUCCUUGGGCAAUGGGCGUGACUGACUGGCGCCCGGCCGGGCCCCCUCUGCCAGUGCCACCCCAUCACGGUAUCCUUCCUCCCCCCGGCAGCGGCUGGAGGCUGAGGGCAGAUGGACUGGCAGUACGGUGAAGCUCCGUCCCAAAACGCAGCAGGAAGGAGGGUGCUGCCCAACGAUGCAUUUCAGCCAGAUCAGGGGACAGCAAAGUGAGCCAUAGUGCAUGUGCCACCUCUGCUUUGCCAUCUGCUGCACGCUAACAUCUGCCUUUCCACGCUGUGCCCACACAAUGCACUGUGACAACACACGGGUCUUCUGUCUCCUUAAACACACUUGUGCCGUAGCUUGUCGUGCUGCUGCGAAGGUCUGGCGAGCUGUGGAAGGCAUGGAUCUGAACCGUACGGUGAACAGGGCUCCCAGAAUCUUGGGGACUAGGCUGGCUGCUGUGCACAAGGGUGAGCCUGCCCACAGACAGUAAUGGACUGGUACACUUGGGGUCCACAGCACAAACCAGGGGACGAAGCUGCCUGGCUGCCUUUGCUCCAGGAGAGUUCUUGUAAGGCUGUAAUGGCUUUAAGGGAAUUCUCACCCGAAUCUGAACCACUGGCAGGCCAUAUCCACCUCGUCUUUCUACUUAUGAGCUGCCAGGACCAACGCUGAGCAGCUCCCCAGGGGUAAAUAGCCAGAGGGCCUUUGCGCGCUACCUGCUAGCAGGUAGUGCCGGGCCCUGCUUGCAAGCUGCAGCCCCCCUGCUCUCCAAGGAAUCGCGCUCUACAGCCCAGUCCCACUUACCUCCCCGUUUGAAAGGAAAGCUCCCCAGAACACACCUGACACACACUGGGGAGUUUUGAUGACUAUAGGUGGAUAAAAUCCUGCAUUCCAGAAGGUUUAGUUCAGGUUCCCAGAGCCCAUUAGCCAGGCUGGCUGUUCAGAAGGGUGAAUCAGCAGAGAACUAAUACAGGGCUUUCUUUUACCACAGUUAAAAGCCAUUAAAAUGUCAAUUUUAGAUAACUCCGAUAAGGUCGUGUUCUGCUAGUACCUUACUCCACAGGAAGUAGAGUGGGGUUCAAAGAAGGGAGACAAGUAUGAGGGGCCUGGAUAAACUCAGUUGAAGAGAGACAGAAAAGACGGGAGGUGAAAAGAGAGGGGGCGAAUCAGAGGGGACAGGACAGAAGUGGGUGAAUGGAAUACACCAGGUAGACGGGAAUGUUUGUUCUCCCUGUGUCUGAGCACAAGAAUAAAGGGUCAGUUCGGUGACUACGAAAGUGGACAAACUCAAAACGAAGAAAAGGAAAUACACAAAUAUCCGGUGGAACUCACUGCCACUGGAUGCCACUGAGGCCAUAACUUAGCAAGAUUUGAAAAUCAAUCAGACGUUUCUCUGGAUAGUGAGACUGAGUUAUAACAGCUAAUACUAAACCAGAGCCGAGAGUUUUAGAAGGAAUAUUACCACCUCCACUCCCCCGAAGGGACCAUCUAAUCUGGCCCCUGUAUAGCACAGGCCAGAGAACUUCAUCAAGAGAUGAAGACUCCACCACUCGAUGUUAGAAAUGUGUCUCUGUCUCCUUUACUUUGUGCACUGGUGACGGCGCCUUUUGCUCAGAGGAUAUGGAACAACGGAUCCACCACAGGAAUUAAAGGUGCAGGCACACAUCAGGAAACAGCGUUCGAUGCCGAUGAUGUAAUAUUAUUUUUUUCUAAACCAAAUAUUUCCCUAAAAUUCAUUUCUUAGAGAAGUGCAGGACAUUGGGAAAGCCUCUGGAUUUAAAGUCAAUUAUGCCAAAUCUGAAAUGUUACCUAGAAACUUCCAGACUCUGAAAACUCUCUCCUCCCAAAAACAUCUGGAUACAAAAUGGGCAACAAUUUCUGUAAAAUGGGUGAGAAUUCAAAUCUCAGCCUAGAAUUGCUCUAUGAUUUAAAUGGGAAGACAAGGCAUCAGCAAAUGAACAGGGCCCUUGAGUGCUCGGGGAAGCCUGGGAUUUUUGGGUUUGGAAGAAUAGCCACAGUCAGAAAGACUCUUCUGCCAAGGAUAGCUUUCCUCUUUCAAAAUCUCCAUUGUUACCCCAGAUAAAACCCUAGCAGGAACACAAAGGAUGAUGUUAGAAUUUAUAUGGAAUAAAAAAAGACCAGGAAAGAGAGAAGAUGCUUUGUACAAGCCCAUUGAACAGGGGGGCUCACUGUUUCAAAUCUUCUCUGGUACUAUCAAGCUAGCCAGCUCAAAGCAGUACGGGGGGUGCUCUAACCCUGACAAACCCUGGGUCUUUAUGGAACAAGAAAAUUGGAGCGGUGUAAACAUCCCUCGGCUACCACGGAUUGAUAAAAAAAAUCCCAGAAGAAAUUUACACACCUCCUUUAGCAGAGGCAGCUCUGUGGGUUUGGGCUAGAACUAGAGAUCAGGUCAGUUCUUUUCCCUCACCAAUGACACCCACUGAAAAUAAUCUAGAUCUUAACCCAAAUCAGGAACCAGAGAGCUUCAAAGAUUGGGAGAGCCCUGGACUACCAGUGGGUGGCCAGCCAUUUCAAAGACACUUUUCUAACUUAUUUAGAGAUCAAAACUAACUUUAUCUGGCCCACUUCCCCCUGGUACUAUACUUCAAGUCAGGCAUUAGGUUUCCCAGCUCUCUAGAACACCUAGACAGCUGGCUAACUUGAAUAGAAGCCAUGGCGUCUGGGCAGUUAGGAAACACAAAAUUAGAACUAAUUCAAACCAGCCUUUGCAGGUAGCUUUCCUAACAAAAAAAGUGUCCAUAUGUGACCUGCUGGGAAAAGGAUGUGGGGAGACAAAUUACCCCAGAGGCAGGGCCGGCUCUAGGCACCAGCAAACCAAGCGGGUGCUUGGGGCGGCACA